CCCAGUUCGGAUCGCAGCCUGCAACCCGGCUGCGUGAAGCUGGAAUCGCUAGUAAUCGCGCAUCAGCCACGGCGCGGUGAAUACGUUCCCGGGCCUUGUACACACCGCCCGUCAAGCCAUGGGAGCCGGGGGUGCCUGAAGGCCGUGACCGCGAGGAGCGGCCUAGGGUAAAACUGGUGACUGGGGCUAAGUCGUAACAAGGUAUC
rnacentral:rRNA from 1 species